rnacentral:rRNA from 1 species
CAGUCGCCGCGGGAAUACGUAGGGGGCAAGCGUUAUCCGGAAUAACUGGGCGUAAAGGGUGCGCAGGUGGUUUAACAAGUUAGUGGUGAAAGGCAUAGGCUCAACCAAUGUAAGCCAUCAAAACUGUUUAACUUGAGUGCAGGAGAGGAAAGUGGAAUUCCUAGUGUAGCGGUGAAAUGCGUAGAUAUUAGGAGGAAUACCAGUGGCGAAGGCGACUUUCUGGACUGCAACUGACACUGAGGCACGAAAGCGUGGGGAGCAAACAGGAUUAGAUACCCCUGUAGUCCCUGUCUCUUAUACA